rnacentral:rRNA from 1 species
UACGUAGGGCGCAAGCGUUGUCCGGAAUUAUUGGGCGUAAAGAGCUCGUAGGCGGUCUGUCGCGUCCGUUGUGAAAACUCGAGGCUCAACCUCGGGCUUGCAGUGGAUACGGGCAGGCUAGAAUUCGGUAGGGGAGACUGGAAUUCCUGGUGUAGCGGUGAAAUGCGCAGAUAUCAGGAGGAACACCGGUGGCGAAGGCGGGUCUCUGGGCCGAUAUUGACGCUGAGGAGCGAAAGCGUGGGGGAGCGAACAGG